rnacentral:tRNA from 1 species
CGGGGCGUAGCUCAGCUUGGUAGAGCGCUGCGUUCGGGGCGCAGAGGCCGCAGGUUCAAAUCCUGUCGCCCCGA